rnacentral:rRNA from 1 species
GGCAACAGCUCAAAUUUGAAAUCUGGCCUUGUGCCCGAGUUGUAAUUUGUAGAGGAUGCUUUGGGUGAGGCCCCUGCCGAGUUCCCUGGAACGGGUCGCCACAGAGGGUGAGAGCCCCGUAUGGCAGGGCGCCAAGUCCGUGUAAAGCUCCCUCGAC